rnacentral:tRNA from 1 species
GGGGCCUUAGCUCAGCUGGGAGAGCGCCUGCCUUGCACGCAGAAGGUCAGCGGUUCAAUCCCGCUAGGCUCCACCA